GAUGAACGCUGGCGGCGUGCCUAAUACAUGCAAGUCGAGCGAACGGACGAGAAGCUUGCUUCUCUGAUGUUAGCGGCGGACGGGUGAGUAACACGUGGAUAACCUACCUAUAAGACUGGGAUAACUUCGGGAAACCGGAGCUAAUACCGGAUGAUAUUUUGAACCGCAGGGUUCAAAAGUGAAAGACGGUCUUGCUGUCACUUAUAGAUGGAUCCGCGCUGCAUUAGCUAGUUGGUAGGGUAACGGCUUACCAAGGCAACGAUGCAUAGCCGACCUGAGAGGGUGAUCGGCCACACUGGAACUGAGACACGGUCCAGACUCCUACGGGAGGCAGCAGUAGGGAAUCUUCCGCAAUGGGCGAAAGCCUGACGGAGCAACGCCGCGUGAGUGAUGAAGGUCUUCGGAUCGUAAAACUCUGUUAUUAGGGAAGAACAUAUGUGUAAGUAACUGUGCACAUCUUGACGGUACCUAAUCAGAAAGCCACGGCUAACUACGUG
rnacentral:rRNA from 1 species